rnacentral:rRNA from 1 species
UACAGAGGUCUCGAGCGUUAGGCGGAAUCACUGGGCUUAAAGCGUGUGUAGGCGGAUUGCUAAGUACCUUGUGAAAUCCCACGGCUUAACCGUGGAACUGCUUGGUAUACUGGCUGUCUUGAGCCACUUAGGGGCAACCGGAACAAACGGUGGAGCGGUGAAAUGCGUAGAUAUCAGGAAGAACAUCGGUGGCGAAGGCGCUCUGCUGGGCCAUAACUGACACUCAGGGACGAAAGCUAGGGGAGCGAAUGGG